rnacentral:rRNA from 1 species
AGAAUCAACGCUGGCGGCGUGCCUAACACAUGCAAGUCGAACGCGAAAGGGGAGCAAUCCCUGAGUAGAGUGGCAAACGGGUGAGUAACACGUGGGUGACCUGCCUUCGAGUGGGGGAUAACGUCCCGAAAGGGACGCUAAUACCGCAUGAUAUCCUGCUCUUGGAUGGGCGGAGAUCAAAGCUGGGGAUCGCAAGACCUGGCGCUUGAAGAGGGGCCCGCGCCUGAUUAGCUAGUUGGUGGGGUAACGGCCUACCAAGGCUACGAUCAGUAUCCGG